rnacentral:sRNA from 2 species
UCCCCUUGCCUCUCGCCUUCAAGACAUCUUUCAUCCUCAAAACACAUUUUCCAAAAUCCAUCUGCUGAUAAUUCUCUGGCACAUACUCCCCACUAACGAUACAUAACACCUUCAUCCCCCUCUUAUACUUCAGCCCACUAAGCAGCUUGGGCGUGAUGAGGAAAUACUGGCCCCCGCCAUCUCCACUCUCACCCGAAGCACAUGCAAUAUCUACCAUGCGCUCAUGCACCAUCCGCUCGUUUCGCGGGUCCAUGCCCUGGUUGAUUUCAUCCACGACACGGAACGGCGAGGCUGAAAGCGACUGUAGGGCCAUGAGGUAGAAGAUCGUGCUGACUGCCCGCUCCCCACCAGAUUGCCUAUGCGCGUCCAGGACGGAGAAGUUUUCGUUUUCGCGGAACCUCACUUGGAUGCGGAUGGACCAC